rnacentral:rRNA from 1 species
UACGUAGGGUGCGAGCGUUGUCCGGAAUUACUGGGCGUAAAGAGCUCGUAGGUGGUUUGUCGCGUUGUUCGUGAAAUCUCACGGCUUAACUGUGAGCGUGCGGGCGAUACGGGCAGACUGGAGUACUGCAGGGGAGACUGGAAUUCCUGGUGUAGCGGUGGAAUGCGCAGAUAUCAGGAGGAACACCAAUAGCGAAGGCAGCUCGCUGGGACGUUACUGACACUGAGGCGCGAAAGCGUGGGGAGCGAACAGG